ACGGAGGAUCCGAGCGUUAUCCGGAUUUAUUGGGUUUAAAGGGUGCGUAGGCGGACUAAUAAGUCAGCGGUGAAAGUUCUGGGCUCAACCGAGGAAUUGCCGUUGAAACUGUUAGUCUUGAGUGUAGAUGAAGUGUGCGGAAUUCGUAGUGUAGCGGUGAAAUGCUUAGAUAUUACGAAGAACUCCAAUUGCGAAGGCAGCUCACUAGGCUACAACUGACGCUGAGGCACGAAGGUGUGGGUAUCAAACAG
rnacentral:rRNA from 1 species